rnacentral:pre_miRNA from 1 species
AAUAAGUGCAGCCGUGGAUAUCCGUGCCCAACGUUUGACCGUCCGUCUUAUUUAAAAAAAUUGUGAAAAAAUUGAAAAUAUUUAGUCACACAUAAAGUACUAUUCAUGUUUUAUUAUCUAAUAGCAAUAAAAAUACUAAUCAGAAAAAAAUUUCAUAUAAGACGAACGGUCAAAUGUUGAACGUGAAUAGUAUAAAACUACAGUUAUU